rnacentral:rRNA from 1 species
UGGGGAAUCUUGCACAAUGGGGGAAACCCUGAUGCAGCGACGCCGCGUGAACGAUGAAGCCCUUCGGGGUGUAAAGUUCUUUCGACAGGAACGAUAAUGACGGUACCUGGAGAAGAAGCUGCGGCUAACUACGUGCCAGCAGCCGCGGUAAUACGUAGGCAGCGAGCGUUGUUCGGAGUUACUGGGCGUAACGAGUGCGUAGGCGGCGAGCCAAGUUUGGUGUGAAAUCUCCCGGCUUAACCGGGAGGGUGCGCCGAAAACUGGUUGGCUGGAGGAUGGGAGAGGAAAGCGGAAUUCCUGGUGUAGCGGUGAAAUGCGUAGAUAUCAGGAGGAACACCGGCGGUGUAGACAGCUUUCUGGACCAAAACUGACGCUGAGGCACGAAAGCGUGGGUAGCAAACA